AUUGAACGCUGGCGGAAUGCUUUACACAUGCAAGUCGAACGAUGAACCUUAGCUUGCUAAGGGGAUUAGUGGCGAACGGGUGAGUAAUGUAUCGGAACGUAUCCAAUAAUGGGGGAUAACUAGUCGAAAGAUUAGCUAAUACCGCAUACGUCCUACGGGAGAAAGCUAGGGACCUUCGGGCCUGGCGUUAAUGGAGCGGCCGAUAUCUGAUUAGCUAGUUGGUGGGGUAAAGGCUCACCAAGGCGACGAUCAGUAGCUGGUCUGAGAGGACGAACAGCCACACUGGAACUGAGACACGGUCCAGACUCCGACGGGAGGCAGCAGUGGGGAAUUGUGGACAAUGGGCGAAAGCCUGAUCCAGCCAUUCCGCGUGAGUGAAGAGGGCCUUCGGGUUGUAAAGCUCUUUCGCAAGGGAAGAAAACUUAAGCUCUAACAUAGCCUGAGGUUGACGGUACCUUGAUAAGAAGCACCGGCUAACUACGUGCCAGCCGCCGCCGUAA
rnacentral:rRNA from 1 species